rnacentral:tRNA from 1 species
GGGCUGGGGCUCAGUGGCAGAGCGCUUGCCUAGCAUGCGUGAGGCACUGAGUUCGAUUCUCAGCACCACA